GUGCCUUUUCACUAUCAAACAGUCCCAACAAAAAGACCCUCUGCAAAAUCAAUUCUGGUGUCUUGUUUGUUGUUUUAUUUGAUGUGAGGUAAUAUUUUGUUGCAGUGUUUAGCAUAUUUUAUCUUUUCGUUUUUUGUUUGAAGAAAGAUGUUUUUCUUCCUUAAGAAAAUUUUAUUUCGUAAAUAGAACAAUAGUCACCAUACAUGAUCUUCCACCAAGUAGAAAUUUUUGUGUGUGCAACUAAGAUUGAUUUCCAGGUCAAUUUGUGAAGGUGCGGCCCCAUUCCCCCACCCCUGUCUGGGUUUGCUAGGAGCGCGCCCACUGCCCACACCCGACCUCGCCACCGGGCCGCAUCUUGGCGGAGCUAACACCGUAGGCCUCCAUCUCUGCCGAAGAAGGGUUAUUAUCACAUCCAUCCCCACCCGAGAGCGCUCUAAUCCUCUCGACAACAAUGCUCACCACAGUUGCAGUUGCGGGCGCGGAAGCCGCUGUCCCAUACUGAUGACGUACAGACUGCAGGCAUGUUUUAGAUUAUGAUUGUGAAAGGCAGACAAUUAUGGUCUGCCAUACUUUUUUACCAGAAAUACUGAACAUGUUCUGAUUUUACUAGAAGAUUCAUGUGGGCAUUCAUGUUAUUGAAGAAUUUUUCGAAAUGGAAAGCUGAAGGCUGAAUGUUUUUCCAUUAACAUUCUACAUGUGCUGCUAUAGAUUGGUCAAUGAAGGCCUCAACCAUUGGAGGCACAAAAUUGUGAAGCUUAAGAUUCCCCACCCUUGUUUCAAUCUCCGAGGAUUAAUCAAUGAAGCACAUGCUGAUGGUGCACUUGCCUUUGGAAUAAUUACUUUGCUCUACAACAGUAUGAAGGGUAAGCUAAUUCUAUUGUCACUGUGCUUCACACUUCUCUGUCAUGGUUUACAGAUUCAGAGCUAGCAAUUAUACUAAAGGCAAAGACAGAGAAGGGGAUUAGUGGAGUGGAUUUUCAUUUUCAGUACUGGGUUUUACCAUGACCCUGUAGUUGCCUCGUACUACAGCAACAUAUAUGGUCAGUACUACAUCUAUGAGAAUGGAUAUUACGUCUUAUGGACUUCAUAUGCGGUACUUACAAGUUCAUCUGGUUACUCGAAAUUUCUCGAUGUGUCAUUUUCUUACAGAUAAAUACUUAAUAGGUACAGAGCUGCUGAGAGAAGGGUAGACAUAUCUACAAAGUUACGUAUUUCCUACAGUUAUUUCUCUUUUGUGUGCUAAAAUACGUUUUCUGAACCAAGGGUGAUGAGCAAUUAUUAAAAAUUAAGUACUCCCUCCGGUCAAUUGACGCUGCAUUAGUACAAAGUUAGUGCAACUUUGUACUAAACCACCGUCAAUUAAUACGGAUCGGAGGGAAUAUAAUAUUUGGUGACGCAUGUUUUUCAUUGAUAAUCUAUUUCUUAAAAUAAAUAUUUUAAUUCCCUAUUGAUUUUGUUUUAUUGCCACACUUGUUUAGGCGCGGCCCUUUGUAAAAGAUUGUAGAACCUAUACAGCCUACUAUCUACAAACAUGGUCCUGAUUUGGGAUGGAAUCAAAUGACGUUUCUGUUCUCUGAACCCCAUUUGUAGAGCUAUGCUAAAGUGUUAAAAAGUGUACAUAUGCCAUGUUCUACAAUUAACUUAUCUUACCUAUGAAUGCCCUCGCAGAAAACAUGUUAAUAUUUGUUCCAUUAUCUUUCAGGAGGGCCACAGGCCUAUUAUGAUUUGUCAGAGAGACAUCUACCCUCCCUGCCACAAAUUAUUGAUCCUUUUAACCAGUUUUAGAAUCCGAACUUUCGUUUCAUUAAACAAGAAAAGCGAGGUUGGUCAUCCAUGAUGCAUUUAUAGAUCCGUUUGAUGAUGAAUCCCAUCCCAUCUUGAAUACCCCUCCCUUCAUUUCAAAGGCAGAGGAGCGUGUCCGGCUGUUGUCGUACGAGAAGAAGCUAGUGUGUGCAGCUGAGGACCCAGGAUGCUAACUGUGUAGAGCCGUUCACCAUGGAGAGGACCAGGGCUUUCAUCAUGGUCCUCCGGACCAAGCUCAACAUAUCCGCCGCCUUCGUCGACGACUUGUCCUGGAGGAUCGUUGCCGUCUGCAACAACUCACCUGAAUGUACGCCUGUGAUGGCAUUUUAGUUUCUUCCCCACGUGAUGCAUCAAUACAAUAAGUUUAUCAAGAAUUGCAUGAAUGUGCUAUCCAGAUCCAAAAAGAAAAUGAAGGUGUCG